ensembl:snoRNA U8 U8 small nucleolar RNA
UCCUCAGGUGGGAUAAUUCUGACCUGUUGAGGCCAUUGAAGGGCAGAAAGAACAUGACUGGAGUUUAUGUGCUGCACUAGUAACAUCUCUGAGCAGUCAGGCUUUGUGAUAUCCUGAUUGUUACAGAGUUGAU